GAGUUUGAUCAUGGCUCAGGACGAACGCUGGCGGCGUGCUUAACACAUGCAAGUCGAACGGUAAGGCCCUUCGGGGUACACGAGUGGCGAACGGGUGAGUAACACGUGGGUGAUCUGCCCUGCACUUUGGGAUAAGCCUGGGAAACUGGGUCUAAUACCGAAUAUGACCUCAGACUUCACGGUUUGUGGUGGAAAGCUUUUGCGGUGUGGGAUGGGCCCGCGGCCUAUCAGCUUGUUGGUGGGGUAAUGGCCUACCAAGGCGACGACGGGUAGCCGGCCUGAGAGGGUGUCCGGCCACACUGGGACUGAGAUACGGCCCAGACUCCUACGGGAGGCAGCAGUGGGGAAUAUUGCACAAUGGGCGCAAGCCUGAUGCAGCGACGCCGCGUGGGGGAUGACGGCCUUCGGGUUGUAAACCUCUUUCAGUAGGGACGAAGCGCAAGUGACGGUACCUACAGAAGAAGGACCGGCCAACUACGUGCCAGCAGCCGCGGUAAUACGUAGGGUCCGAGCGUUGUCCGGAAUUACUGGGCGUAAAGAGCUCGUAGGUGGUUUGUCGCGUUGUUCGUGAAAUCUCACAACUCAAUUGUGAGCGUGCGGGCGAUACGGGCAGACUGGAGUACUGCAGGGGAGACUGGAAUUCCUGGUGUAGCGGUGGAAUGCGCAGAUAUCAGGAGGAACACCGGUGGCGAAGGCGGGUCUCUGGGCAGUAACUGACGCUGAGGAGCGAAAGCGUGGGGAGCGAACAGGAUUAGAUACCCUGGUAGUCCACGCCGUAAACGGUGGGUACUAGGUGUGGGUUUCCUUCCUUGGGAUCCGUGCCGUAGCUAACGCAUUAAGUACCCCGCCUGGGGAGUACGGCCGCAAGGCUAAAACUCAAAGAAAUUGACGGGGGCCCGCACAAGCGGCGGAGCAUGUGGAUUAAUUCGAUGCAACGCGAAGAACCUUACCUGGUUUGACAUGCACAGGACGACGGCAGAGAUGUCGUUUCCCUUGUGGCCUGUGUGCAGGUGGUGCAUGGCUGUCGUCAGCUCGUGUCGUGAGAUGUUGGGUUAAGUCCCGCACGAGCGCACCCUCGUUCUAUUUUUGCAGCGAGUAUUGUUCGGGACUUCAUAGGAGACUGCCGGGGUCCAACCUCGAAGAAAGGUGGGGAUGAACGUUCAAGUCACUCAU
rnacentral:rRNA from 1 species